GACGAACGCUGGCGGCGUGCCUAAUACAUGCAAGUCGAACGAGAAAUUCUUACACCGGAUGCUUGCAUCCACCGUAAGAUUUCGAGUGGCGGACGGGUGAGUAACACGUGGGUAACCUGCCCAUCAGAAGGGGAUAACACUUGGAAACAGGUGCUAAUACCGUAUAACAAUCGAAACCGCAUGGUUUUGAUUUGAAAGGCGCUUUCGGGUGUCGCUGAUGGAUGGACCCGCGGUGCAUUAGCUAGUUGGUGAGGUAACGGCUCACCAAGGCGACGAUGCAUAGCCGACCUGAGAGGGUGAUCGGCCACAUUGGGACUGAGACACGGCCCAAACUCCUACGGGAGGCAGCAGUAGGGAAUCUUCGGCAAUGGACGAAAGUCUGACCGAGCAACGCCGCGUGAAUGAAGAAGGUCUUCGGAUCGUAAAGUUCUGUUAUUAGAGAAGAACACGUGUAAGAGUAACUGAUUAUGCGUUGACGGUAUCUAAUCAGCAAGUCACGGCUAACUACGUGCCAGCCGCCGCAGUAACAC
rnacentral:rRNA from 1 species